rnacentral:rRNA from 1 species
AACGAACGCUGGCGGCAGGCUUAACACAUGCAAGUCGAGCGCCCCGCAAGGGGAGCGGCAGACGGGUGAGUAACGCGUGGGAAUCUACCCAUCUCUACGGAAUAACGCAUGGAAACGUGUGCUAAUACCGUAUACGUCCUUCGGGAGAAAGAUUUAUCGGAGAUGGAUGAGCCCGCGUUGGAUUAGCUAGUUGGUGGGGUAAAGGCCUACCAAGGCGACGAUCCAUAGCUGGUCUGAGAGGAUGAUCAGCCACACUGGGACUGAGGCACGGCCCAGACACCUACGGGAGGCAGCAGGGGGGAAUAUUGGACAAUGGGCGCAAGCCUGAUCCAGCCAUGCCGCGUGAGUGAUGAAGGCCCUAGGGUUGUAAAGCUCUUUCACCGGUGAAGAUAAUGACGGUAACCGGAGAAGAAGCCCCGGCUAACUUCGUGCCAGCCGCCGCCGUAACAC